rnacentral:rRNA from 1 species
AUGAUAGAUGGAGACAUCUCAGAUGUGGAUGAAGACGGUGGCGACAUAAAGAUCGAGUAUACAAGGGGUCUAACACUGAAUGAUGCACAGCAAGACAUUCUCGAUGAACUGGUGCUCAGCUUCAAAUCCAAGUUUUUAGGAGUGUCUUUUGUACACUGUCUUACUACAACUGAUACUCAAGUUGGACAAAUGAAAGUGCCAGAGAGUGUUGCUACAAGCUUGAACAUCCCUAAAGAAGGUUUGGCUGGUGUUCGUCUAAGCACUGGGGAGGCAAAGACUCACGUUGAAUAUAGCACGUCUACUGAUGGACGUAUAGUUUUCAACAAAAAGCAGUGA